AAUGGAAAGCCCAGUGGAAGGUUCUAGGUCUUCUAAGUAUUAGGAAUAAUUCUUGUCAAUGUUAGCUGUAACUAAUAACAGAUGUACGAAGGCAGAGGACGCUGAGAAAAUAUUUUCCCGCAUCACAAAGCUAGCUAGUGACGCCCCUAGGUUUAAACUCCUGUCUUUGGAUGUCUCCUCUAGGACAUUUCCAGUGUACUCUGCUGCUUCACUGAAUAUUGGAAGAGGUGCAAGGCAGGUGAUGGCUGGUUACCGUGAGAUGUGUAGAUAUUGAUAACGUUAAUUAAUCUAUUAAUGGAUAGAAUAUUAAUAAAAAUAAAUAAGGGGCUGUAAGCAUAGUGAUUACAGUACUAAAGGGUUUAUGUAAGCUGUAUUUAGAACUUACUGGGAGAUUUUAAUGCCAACCACCCUGCCUUUAUUUAAACAAAACCACAGAUGAGUUCACUUGGAAGGUGAGGAGGAAUCAGUGGAUUGAGUACUCCCAGGGAUGUUAAGAAAAGGUAAGGCAGGGAGUUUUGAAGCCUCUGCUAACACCCUAACUCAUGUUUCAGAAGUGAUCACGGGUCUGUUGAGUGACAUUCAAUAAAAACAAACAUUUCAGUUUCUCUUAGUGAGCUAUGAGUUGAAAAUUCCCACAGGAUUUCAAAUAAGAGAAUGAAAAUCCUGGGACGAGCAUGGUAGAAAGUAACCUUGGCAUUCUAGCAGACAUUAAGUGGAAAAUGGACCAGCCCCAUGUCACCAUUGACAUGAGGCCACACAGUCUUGUUCUCUACAGAAUAGCACAGCCUGUGUUGUGCUGGAUCCUGGCUUCAGCUCCUGCACAGGGAGCCCUGUCCCUCCCUGUGGAGACCAUGCAUUCUCUUCAUCCAUAUUAAAAGGAACCAGUUAAUGUGAGCAGCCAGCCUUAGAGUAAGUGGAAGUGAGUUAUAAGUGCCUGCGAGAGAGACAGAGCAUAAGCCAUGUUGCUAGCCUCUCAGAACCCAAGCUUCUGUCAUUCUAGAACACAAAGCUAAAUGACAGGCAGUUGAGAAGUAAAUGGACACACAGGCUUCUGAUACAGGCAUGGGGCAGGGAGGUAGGUGAAGGUAAGCCCAAUCAAGGAAUGACCUCUUGGGCCCCCAGUUUGAGAACUGCCCCAAUUCUUCAUCUGUCAUAUGAAACUGGAACUGCUGGUCAAGAGAGAGCCUCAGGCAAAUCACUGAGUUCUUGCCCCAAUGGGGACAAUCCCAGAGCAGGAAGUUUCCAGUAAUCGAAGUGACAAGACAUUUUGGGAAUUUCAGGUGGAUUGCAUUUGGUUUCCAAACAACUGGUCCAGCCCAGCCUUAGGCUUCUUCACUUCCUGAAGUUCUCUGAUAUCCAGAAAGAUAGAUGUCCUAUCAGCAGCAGCAGCAAUAGUGCAAGCAGCCCUGCCAACGACCUCUUGUGCUCCCACCUCCCAAGUGCCCAGCCCCAUGCCCACCGCCGAAGUGCCCAGUGCCAUGCCCACCUCCAGAGUUUCCACCUCAACUCUGCCAGCAGCAGUGUCCCCCUGUGCAGCCACCACCGUGCCAGCAGAAGUGACCACCCAGGAGCAGUAAGAGCAAAAGCCAUCAAGACCAUCGUGCAAACAAAUCACAGGGUCAGGCUCCUCUCUGAAUUAGGACCACUCUUCCCCAGAGCCCCAGGAAAAGCAUCGGGAACAAGUCUACCUUUCUUAAAAUACAGCCUUUCUUCGAUCUGUGCCUAAGA